rnacentral:rRNA from 1 species
UAACCUGCCCAAGAGACUGGGAUAACACCUGGAAACAGAUGCUAAUACCGGAUAACAACACUAGACGCAUGUCUAGAGUUUAAAAGAUGGUUCUGCUAUCACUCUUGGAUGGACCUGCGGUGCAUUAGCUAGUUGGUAAGGUAACGGCUUACCAAGGCAAUGAUGCAUAGCCGAGUUGAGAGACUGAUCGGCCACAUUGGGACUGAGACACGGCCCAAACUCCUACGGGAGGCAGCAGUG